rnacentral:rRNA from 1 species
AAAGCAGGUCUAAGUAUUAAGCAAUUAUACCGCGGAAACUGCGAAUGGGCUCAUUAAAUCAGUUAUCGUUUAUUUGAUAGUACCUUACUACAUGGAUAACCGUGGUAAUUCUAGAGCUAAUACAUGCUAAAAACCCCAACUCACGAAGGGGUGUAUUUAUUAGAUUAAAAACCAAUGCCCUUCGGGGCUUCUUGGUGAUUCAUAAUAACUUCUCGAAUCGCAUGGCCUUGCGCCGGCGAUGGUUCAUUCAAAUUUCUGCCCUAUCAACUUUCGAUGGCAGGGUCUUGGCCUGCCAUGGUUACAACGGGUAACGGAGGGUUAGGGCUCGACCCCGGAGAAGGAGCCUGAGAAACGGCUACUACAUCCAAGGAAGGCAGCAGGCGCGCAAAUUACCCAAUCCCGACUCGGGGAGGUAGUGACAAUAAAUACUGAUACAGGGCUCUUUUGGGUCUUGUAAUUGGAAUGAGUACAAUUUAAAUCCCUUAACGAGGAACAAUUGGAGGGCAAGUCUGGUGCCAGCAGCCGCGGUAAUUCCAGCUCCAAUAGCGUAUAUUAAAGAUGUUGCAGAUAAAAAGCUCAUAGAUGAACCUUUUGCCUGGCUGGAAGGUCCG